GAAAUCCUCUCUGCAUGUUGGUCUUUUGACCUCAGUGAGAGACCCAGCUUUACUCUUCUCGUGGAUAUGCUUGAAAAACUGCCAAAACUGAACCGGCGGCUGUCACAUCCCGGACACUUCUGGAAAUCUGCAGACAUUAACAGUAGCAAAGUUGUUCUCCGUUUUGAAAGAUUUGGCUUGGGAAUCCUGGAAUCGAGUAACCAAAAGAUCUAGCGUGGUUUGUAAUUCUCUUGUUGAUAUUGUUGUCUGCCUGCUCACACAAACCAUCAGAAACCUUCACGGCAUCUUCUUCUGAACUAUGAAACUGGUGCAGCCCGUACCUGCAAGCCACACGACCCUCCUUUCAAACUGUCUUGCGUUGUUUCUGAAGUCUGCAUUCUACCUGAACACCAGCAAUUAUUUAAAAAAAAUGUUUACAUCAUAUGUUUCUCUAUGUGAACUAUAUCUUUAAUAAUAAAGGUGAUUUAAAGGGGUUUUCUAAGUGCAAGCAUUCAGAUGGCACUGAAAAGUACUGCUCCCCGUGCUCGAUUGCAUCUGUGGAGUAACUAAGGGCUAACUCCUGCACUGCGCAUCUUGUACACCAUUUCCACUGAAGCUAAUAGAGGUUGCACAUCUGUCAGAGAGAACUGCUAGCUUUAAAUCACGAAUGCAGCCAAUUCAAGUGAGAGGGAAUGAAGUGAAAGCUCCAUGGUGUCUCCAUCAGGAAACUUACAAAAACGUUGACUGUAUUGAAAAGAAAUGCAUGAAUUGGGCUAUGGUUUGAGCAAGUUAAUACACUCUUGAUUACUGAUCUUCUCUGGAAACGUCCAACCGUGGGCUGGUUCUAAUCUCUUACUGGCAGCCCAUCUGGAAUACUUACGAGUCCAGAUUUACGCAGAGACCCAAAUCCUGCCCUUUUGUCAUGCAUGUUGAUGAGGGUUGGAACCCUUUUUUUUUUUUUUAAGCACAGUUCAUUCAUUCCUAGACUAGCAGGGGGAUGGGAUUUUCAAAAAGAACCUUAAAGUUAAGCAGCAGCAUCUCAUUGGCUUUCAAAGAGAACUGGGCACCUUCAUUCUUUAAGGAUUU